GAGACUCUGUGCGCGUGCAUAUCAAUAAGCGGAGGAAAAGAAACUAACAAGGAUUCCCUUAGUAACGGCGAGUGAAGCGGGAAGAGCUCAAAUUUGAAAUCUUCAAGGUUCUACCUUGACGAAUUGUAGUUUAUAGAAGUGUUUUCUGUUAGUGGAGUGGCAAAAGUUCUUUGGAAUAGGACAUCAUAGAGGGUGAGAAUCCCGUAUUUGGUCAUUCCUCCUAGCGUUGUGAUACACUUUCAACGAGUCGGAUUGUUUGGGAAUGCAGUCCAAAAUGGGUGGUAAAUUUCAUCUAAAGCUAAAUAUUGGCGAGAGACCGAUAGCGAACAAGUACCGUGAGGGAAAGAUGAAAAGAACUUUGAAAAGAGAGUUAAACAGUACGUGAAAUUGUCAAAAGGGAAGCGUUUGACACCAGUGUUGUUUUCUCGAAAAUCAAUUACGAAUGUUUUAUUUUUGAGGAGUUAUGACUUCAUCGGCUUGCUUCCUUUCUUUAUGAAACUUUCUUAAUGCACUUUUCGGUUAACAAGUCAACAUCAAUUUCUUUUGUUGUAAAAGGGUAUGAGGAAGGUGGCUUUCUUUUCGGAGAAAGUGUUUAUAGCCUUAUGGCCUCUGCAAUCGGAGAGAUUGAGGUCUGCAGCGUAGAUCCUUCGGGGUUAGAUACGUUUGUGCUAAGUUAUAGCUUUUCAUAGACAACUUGUUGACUAUGUUUAGUCUUGUAGCUUACUCGCUGACGCUAUUUUACCUACGCUUAGGAUGUUGAACUCUAUCACACACAG
rnacentral:rRNA from 1 species